rnacentral:rRNA from 1 species
AUGGAUGAUGAGAACCUGCUCUCCGAGAUCCUCCUCUGCCUCCCCCCGCUGCCGUCCUCCCUCCCCCGCGCCUCCGCCGUCUGCAGGCGCUGGCGCCUCCUCGUCUCCGACCCAGGAUUCUCCCGCCGCUUCCGCAUCCACCACCGCCGCAACCCUCCCCUCCUCGGUUUCUUUGAUGACUUAUUAUCCUUCGUACCUACUCUGGAGGCCCCUAAUCGUGUCCCUCCGGAGCGAUUCUCCUUCGAGGACGACGGCGGCCGUCGCUCAGUGAUCCUCGGAUGCCGCCAUGGCCUAGCACUCUUCUUCCUCCCAUCUUCGAACCAGAUCCUGGUGUGGGAUUCUGUCACCUCCGACCAGCACCGCGUUGCCGUUCCUCCAGAGUUUGAGAGAGAUGGAUUGCAGAUCAUAAUCCAGGGGGCGGUGCUUCGGGUGGCUGCCGGAGAGGUUCACUUCCGAGUGGUCUUGACAGUGGUGGACUUCGAGGACAAACGAGCCCUCGCCCGUGUUUACUCCUCAGCGACCGGCAUAUGGUGUUGCUUCAUGGGUGCUAGGAAGAACUUCUGA